AUUAACGCUAGCGGCAGGCAUAAUACAUGCAAGUUGAACGGCAGCACAGGUAGCAAUACUGGGUGGCGAGUGGCGCACGGGUGCGUAACACGUAUGCAACCUACCCUAUACAGGCGAAUAACCUUUAGAAAUGAGGGCUAAUACGCCGUAGUAUUACAGAUGGGCAUCUAUUUGCAAUUAAAGAUUUAUCGGUAUAGGAUGGGCAUGCGUCCCAUUAGUUAGUUGGUAAGGUAACG
rnacentral:rRNA from 1 species